rnacentral:rRNA from 1 species
AUUGAACGCUGGCGGCAGGCCUAACACAUGCAAGUCGAGCGGAAGAAGGGAGCUUGCUCCUGGAUUCAGCGGCGGACGGGGGAGUAAUGCCUAGGAAUCUGCCUGGUAGUGGGGGAUAACGUCCGGGAACGGGCGCUAAUACAGCAUACGUCCCGUGGGAGAAAGAGGGGGAUCUUCGGACCUCACGCUAUCAGAUGAGCCUAGGUCGGAUUAGCUAGUUGGUGGGGUAAAGGCCUACCAAGGCGACGAUCCGUAACUGGUCUGAGAGGAUGAUCAGCCACACUGGAACUGAGACACGGCCCAGACUCCUACGGGAGGCAGCAGUGGGGAAUAUUGGACAAGGGGGGAAACCCUGAUCCAGCAAUGCCGCGUGUGUGAAGAAGGCCUUCGGGUUGUAAAGCACUUUAGGUGGGAAGAAAAGCAGUAUGUUUAAACCUUGCUGUAUUGACGUUACCUACAGAAUAAGCACCGGCUAACUUCGUG